ensembl:lncRNA
CUCAGAGAGAUCUGGCAGUUCUACUUGUUGCUGUCAGCACUUGUAGCUAUGUAAGUCCAUGUACUCUUCUCAUCUGUGAGCAGCUGUACUGGGAGAAGCACAGCGGGUCCCAGGGAACGCAGGAGAGGGGCCAGAAGCUCUGACGUGGUGGGGACUGCCUGAUCUGGCAAGCAGCGGGAGCUUGUUCCCACAGAGCUCUAUGAUCUAAUCCGUGCUCAGACUCCACUGUAAUAAGCUAAGGAAACCGAGCUUCUUCCGUCUUUCUGUCGAGGAGAAAUUUUCCAGACAGUUUUGUAGCUCUUCUCACAAAUCAUGUUGAGAGCAUCCUUUUCAAUUUCUCCUUCGUUGUGGCUGCAUUAAAAAGAUUGAUCCUGGUUGCAUCUCCGUUGAAGUGGAGGGAAGGACACAGUCACCUUUAUUACGCUGUCAGAGAAGCAAAAAGACUUCUGUCUCCUCUUUCCAGGCCCUCGUUGCUGCUGCAGCUGUCAUGGAGAAGACUAUGGUGUUGAAACUUAAACACACAGGUUGCUCUGAAAGUAAUGCCUCAUAUUUUUUUUUCCAUGGAAACCACAAGAGAUACAAAGAGCACAAUAAUACCAUUUAAUAGAGCAAAUUCUCAGCUACAAAGAACUGUUUUUCAGCAUUGUCACUACCAGUAGCUAUGCAUUUUUGCCAGCAAUGAACAAGACCCUGCAUACUGUACUCCUAAAAAUCUGCACUGGUGGAGGUGACCCACUGUCACUGUUGCCACUGCCGAAAUGCACCACCCACCAUCUCAUUGUGCUCUCAUCCACUGUUUGGUCUCCAUAAACAUUCAGCAAGCGUUGAUGAGUGUCAAUGGGUGCCAUAUUUUCUGCACGGAGGAAUUCAGUGACACCUUUGCUUCAUAUGCGCUUCCAUGUCAGACGCCAUUUGGUCAGACAGCUCUGCUGCUGCCAUCUGUCACAUGGCAACAAGAGUAAUGGAAUAUUGGUGGGAAGGUUCAACCUCUGCUGCUGUACCACCAAGAUCCACUUCUGACAACAUCAUGGACUGAUAUAAUACAAUAGGAGCCAUUACUUUUGGAACAGCCCUUGUACAUAAAAAGAGUAACUAUCAAAGAUCAGAAAGACAGUAUUUUGUCCUCAAUUUUUACGCCAGAGUGCAAGAGGAAUUUCUUUUGGCAAACCUUUAAAGACAACUACAGUGUGAAGCCACACCAUUUUGUAUUGAGGAAAUUCAAUCAAGAGUUCUUUGGUUUGACAUCUGUUAUCAACAAGAUAUAACACAGAGGAAAGAGAGCCUAAACAAAGAGGAAAACUCAAUAUUUAAUCUUCCAGUUUUCUAAGAUGGAAUUCAUAAAAGCCUACCAUCACCCAAGGAACACCCUUAGAAUACCCAUUUGGUAUUCACCAAAUACAGCUUCUUUGGUUUUAAGUACUUGUAGAAACAUUGGCAGCUGCUUUCUGACUGAGCAUUUGGCAAUUGCAUACUGGAAGCUGUAAUUUUCACUUGCCUCCCUCAUCACAAGCUUCCAGAAUCUGAUGACCAACACUUCCACCCAUCUUGUGACCAAGAUUUCCAAAAACUUUGACACUGGAUCUCUCAGCUGGGCUCCCUAAGCAGCUGUUCCGAUGCCUUCCCACUCUUUCUGAAAAGAAAUUUUCCAAACUGAAACCAAUCUGAGCUUGGUCCACAUAUUUAAGGAAACUAGUCUAUAGGAGGAGGAGACAGUAUUUCUGAGAAAACAACAGCAACAACAACAAAAACACAAGACAAGAACAACAACAACAAAAGUAAUCAAGCCAUUUGAACUCAGGUUCAAAAAAACUUCUGUGGAAGACCUGUGAAGACAAAAACAAAAACUAGCUGAUCCUGUAACUCAUAUUAAAGCACUUUCUAAGCAUAUGAAUGUCUGGUACUUUAAAACACAGUCAUUAAGUUGAAUACUUAUUUUUACACAACAGCCAUAUAACAUCAUGUAUUACAUUGCCUCAAUAUAUUUGACGUUGGCAGCAAAAAUGCAAUAGAUAUACAUACCUUUGUGCAUACACUCUUAACUGAAUUUGCUUGCCAGCAUUGUCCCAGUCCUGUGUGACGUGAUGGUAGUUGGCUAAUCAGCCAGCUCUCUCCCAUGAUGCAAUUUACAACACAGACUUAGUGAGUGAGUAUGUUGGAUGUUUCAAACCAGUUAGCGCCCGUAGGUUUCAAAAGGCAUUGCCCCAGUCUUUAUCUUUUCCCCAUAAUCUUCUUAAUAACCUCACGAGUACUAUAAAUAAAGGAAGAGAAUGGUGAAAUUGUGACUUUUCACUGAAG